AGUGAACGCUGGCGGCGUGCUUAACACAUGCAAGUCGAGCGGUAUUAAAAAUUUGUAGUAGCAAUAUUACAGUUUUUUGGUAUAGCGGCAGACGGGUGAGUAAUACAUGGGAAUCUACCUUAUAGAUUGGGAUAACAUGCAGAAAUGUGUGCUAAUACCAAAUAACAGCCGAGAGGCAAAAGACGAAAGUCGCUAUAAGACGAGCCUUUGCGGGAUUAGCUAGUUGUUGAGGUAAUGGCUCAACAAGGCAACGAUCUCUAGUUGAUCUGAGAGGAUGAUCAGCCACACUAGAACUGAGACACGGUCUAGACUUCUACGGAGGGCAGCAGUGAGGAAUAUUGGACAAUGGGCGAAAGCCUGAUCCAGCAACGCCGCGUGAGUGCUAAGGCCUUAGGGCUGUAAAACUCUUUUAAUGGGGAAGAAGGAGAAAUCCGUGACGGUACCCAUAGAAAAAGCCCCGGCUAACUUCGUGCCAGCAGCCGCGGUAAUACGAAGGGGGCUAGCGUUACUCGGAAUUAUUGGGCGUAAAGCGUGCGUAGGCUGAUUGUAAAGUCAUUGGUGAAAUCCUUGAGCUCAACUCAAGAACUGCCGUUGAUACUGACAAUCUUGAAUAACGGAGAGGAUAAUGGAAUUCCUAGUGGAAAGGUGAAAUUUUGUGAUAUUAGGAGGAACACCGAUGGCGAAAGCGAUUAUCUGGUCGAUUAUUGACGCUGUUGCACGAAAGUAUGGGGAGCAAACAGGAUUAGAUACCCUGGUAGUCCAUACAGUAAACUAUGAGUGCUGGAUGUCGGAUUUAUUUUCGGUGUCGAAGCUAACGCGUUAAGCACUCCGCCUGGGGAGUACGGUCGCAAGACUAAAACUUAAAGGAAUUGACGGGGACCCGCACAAGCGGUGGAACAUGUGGUUUAAUUCGAUGCUACGCGAAAAACCUUACCAAGUCUUGACAUGAUAUUCAUAGCUAUUUGGGAUAACUAGAUAGUCGUUUAGUCGGAAUAUCACAGGUGCUGCAUGGCUGUCGUCAGCUCGUGUCGUGAGAUGUUGGGUUAAGUCCCGCAACGAGCGCAACCCCUAUUUUUAGUUGCUACCAGUUCGGCUGGGCCACUCUAGAAAAACUGCUGAUGAUAAAUCAGAGGAAGGUGGGGAUGAGGUCAAGUCAGCAUGGCCCUUAUGACUUGGGCUACACACGUGUUACAAUGGUGAUUACAAUGGGCUGCAAUGAGGCGACUCGGAGCUUAAUCCUUAAAAAUCACCCCAGUUCGGAUUGUACUCUGCAACUCGAGUACAUGAAGCAGGAAUCGCUAGUAAUCGCGGAUCAGCAUGCCGCGGUGAAUACGUUCCCGGGUCUUGUACACACUGCCCGUCACGCCAUGGGAGUUGAUCUUGCUUUAAGUGCGCGAGCUAACCGAAAGGGGGUAACGCACCACAGCAGGGUUGAUGACUGAGGUA
rnacentral:rRNA from 1 species